AUGGCUCCAGCUCGAUUUGUUGCAGGGAUGCUGCUGGCGGCGAUCGGCUGUGUGCUCUCUGUGGCCGCGGACAACCUGACCACGCCAUCCCCGCAACCCUUCGUCUGGCAGAAGGCGCAUGCAACGUUCUACGGCGGCGCUGACGCCUCUGACACAAUGGGUGGCGCAUGCGGGUAUGGUAACCUCUUCUCUGAAGGGUACGGGACACGCACGGCGGCUCUGAGCACCGUGUUGUUCAAUGACGGUGCCGCAUGCGGGCAGUGCUACAAGAUCGCAUGCGACCGAAAGCGCGCGGAUCCCUUGUUUUGCAAGCCUGGUGUGACGGUCACCGUCACGGCCACAAACUUCUGCCCGCCCAACGAUGCCCUCCCCAAUGACAACGGCGGCUGGUGCAACCCACCGCGGCCGCAUUUCGACAUGGCCCAGCCGGCCUGAGAGAAGAUUGGUGUUUAUAAAGGUGGCAUCAUCCCCGUCAUGUACCAGAGAGUUCCGUGCGUGAAGCGGGGUGGCGUGAGGUUCGUAAUCAAUGGUCACGAGUACUUCAAUCUUGUGCUUGUGAGCAAUGUUGCUGCAGCUGGCUCGAUCAAGUCCAUGGAUGUCAAGACCUCUAAUUCGGACGAGUGGAUGCCUAUGGCACGCAAUUGGGGUGCUAACUGGCACUCGCUUGCGAACCUCACCGGCAAGAUGCUCUCCUUCAGACUAACCAACAGUGAUGGACACACACUUGUGUUCAAUGAUGUUGUGCCAAAGGGAUGGAACUUUGGGCAAUCAUUUGCUAGCAAAUUGCAAUUCUAG
rnacentral:rRNA from 1 species